rnacentral:tRNA from 1 species
UCCCAGGUAGCUCAGUGGUAAAGAAUCUGCCUGCAAUGCAGGAGACCCCGGUUCAGUUUCUGGGCUGGGAA